GAUGAACGCUGGCGGCGUGCCUAAUACAUGCAAGUCCAGCGAACAGACGAGUAUCUUGCUCCUCUUACGUUAGGCGCGUACGGGUGAGUAGCACGUCGAUAACCUAUCUAUUUUUCUGGGAUAACUUCGGGAAACCGGCUCUAAUUCCGAAUACUUUAUUGAUCCGCAUGAUUCCAUAGUAAAAUACGGUUUUGCUCUCUCUUAUGCAUCGAUCCAGGCCGAAUUAGCUAGUUGGUAAGGUAACGGCUUACCAAGGCAACGAUGCGUAGCGGGACUGAGAGGAUGAUCGGCCACACUGGAACUGAGACACGGUCCAGACUCCUACGGGAGGCAGCAGUAGGGAAUAUUCCACAAUGGGCGAAAGCCUGACGGAGCAAUGCCGCGUGAGUGAUGAAGGUCUUCGGAUCGUAAAACUCUGUUAUUAGGGAAGAACAAAUGUGUAAGUAACUAUGGACGUCUUGACGGUACCUAAUGAGAAAGCACCGGCUAACUACGUG
rnacentral:rRNA from 1 species